CAGUAGCCGCGGUAAUACGUAGGUGGCAAGCGUUGUCCGGAAUUAUUGGGCGUAAAGGGCUCGCAGGCGGUUUCUUAAGUCUGAUGUGAAAGCCCCCGGCUCAACCGGGGAGGGUCAUUGGAAACUGGGAAACUUGAGUGCAGAAGAGGAGAGUGGAAUUCCACGUGUAGCGGUGAAAUGCGUAGAGAUGUGGAGGAACACCAGUGGCGAAGGCGACUCUCUGGUCUGUAGCUGACGCUGAGGAGCGAAAGCGUGGGGAGCGAACAAGAUUAGAUACCCCAGUAGUCCCUGUCUCUUAUAA
rnacentral:rRNA from 1 species